UAAAUGAAGUUGAAAGUAAUUAAAGAAUAAAAUUACUAAUUUAAUCAUAAAGAGGCUAUUUUGGAUUUCUGAGGCAACAACACCUUCUUGUUGAUUUUAAAACCUCUAUAAUUUUUGUUUAUUUGUUUAUCUAUUUGUUUUUUUUUUCUUGAUUUUUUUUAAUACACUUCUUUUUUAGACAUGAAUUCAAGUGACGAUGAAGACUUGAAAGUGAUUGAAAAGUUAAAAGAUGAUAACUUCUACCAUUAGAAGAAGAAAAUUAAACUUUUUUUUAGUAUCAUUGGAUUUUUUAGAUAUUAUUGAUGAAAGUGAAGAGCUU
rnacentral:lncRNA from 1 species